ACCACUAACGCAUUUCACCUUAUGUAAAGGCUUUUUCAAAAUGUUUUGAAAAGCCUUUACAUAAGGUGAAAUGCAUUAGUGAU